rnacentral:pre_miRNA from 1 species
GUAUCCACUGCCGGCCUAUAUGUCCUAUUUCGGUACUCAUAAGGCACGCGGUGAAUGCCA